rnacentral:rRNA from 1 species
UACUCGAGUGGCGAACGGGUGAGUAACACGUGGGUGAUCUGCCCUGCACUUCGGGAUAAGCUUGGGAAACUGGGUCUAAUACCGGAUAGGAGCCAUCUUUAGUGUGGUGGUUGGUAAAGUUUUUUCGGUGUAGGAUGAGCUCGCGGCCUAUCAGCUUGUUGGUGGGGUAAUGGCCUACCAAGGCGGCGACGGGUAGCCGGCCUGAGAGGGUGUACGGCCACAUUGGGACUGAGAUACGGCCCAG